ensembl:lncRNA
CGCGUCUGUCCCGCGGAAUGCGAGGAGCGCAGGGACGCGGGGCGCUUAAUCGUGGAAGGAAGCGAGCCGGGAGAGGCGCUGAGCCGCAGUCACCGCCAUCUCACCGGUGCCUGAGUGUUUCGAUACGUGUCAGUUCAGUGAGUGGGAAAACGCCGGUCUUGUUCAGCGUCUUCAUCAAUGACCUGGAAUAAGGGGGUUGCCAACCACCAGACCAGGCUGCCCAGAGCCACAUCCAGCCUGGCCUUGAAUGUCUUCAGGGAUGGGGCAUCCACAACCUCCUUGGGCAACCUGUUCCAGUGUGUCACCACCCUCUGUGUGGAAAACUUCCUCCUAAUGUCAAACCUAAACCUCCCCUGUCUCAGUUUAAAACCAUUCCCCCUUCCUACUGUGAUUCCUAGUGAUUCCUAUCACUAUCCACCCUCUGAAGUGAGGACAACUGUUCAAAGAGCUGGUUUGGAAGAUACCUGAGUAGAUGGAACACUCCCUUCCAUGUGCAGGACUCCAGUCUCUAACUUUUCAAAGUGUACAGUUAAAAAAAAAAAAAAAAGCAACAAGAGGAAUAAGAAUCUACAUAAUCUACAUAAUCUACAUACGUACUUAGCCUAGUUUUGUAAGCAGAGGACAUGCUCUUCUGCAACUUUGUUCCUCUGCGAGUCCAUUGCUUCACUCAGAUAAAGAGGAAGAGCCUUCAGAGACAAUGAAGUUCACAUGAGCUUUGUGAAAAUAGCCUGAAAAUAGCCUGUUGGAGGUGGAAGGGUGCUGGCUGUUCACAGCUGGAGGACCAGAAGCAGCCACCUCCACUCUGCAGGCAGCGUCACACAGGAGCCUUUGCUCGUUCUUAUGUACCUGAUCUGGUUCUGAAGAGGGGUGAGGAAGCCAUGUAACACAUUCUCUUUGGCAUGUUUCACAACGUUUUGGCAUGAUUCCACGAAAGCUUCCACAGAUCCACUCCAGACUAGGCGCAACGGUUUGACCCGGCUGAUUUGGGGUGGGAGAGGCAGUGGAUAGACACUGGGGGGCAGCGGUGUGAAGAUCUGUUGGACAGACCCG